UUAUUGGAGAGUUUGAUCCUGGCUCAGGACGAACGCUGGCGGCAUGCCUAAUACAUGCAAGUCGAGCGGAGUUGAUAGGAAGCUUGCUUCCUUGAUACUUAGCGGCGGACGGGUGAGUAACACGUAGGCAACCUGCCCUCAAGUUUGGGACAACUACCGGAAACGGUAGCUAAUACCGAAUAGUUGUUUUCUU
rnacentral:rRNA from 1 species